rnacentral:rRNA from 1 species
UACAGAGGUCUCAAGCGUUGUUCGGAUUCAUUGGGCGUAAAGGGUGCGUAGGUGGCGUGGUAAGUCGGGUGUGAAAUUUCGGAGCUUAACUCCGAAACUGCAUUCGAUACUGCGGUGCUUGAGGACUGGAGAGGAGACUGGAAUUCAUGGUGUAGCAGUGAAAUGCGUAGAGAUCAUGAGGAAGACCAGUGGCGAAGGCGGGUCUCUGGACAGUUCCUGACACUGAGGCACGAAGGCCAGGGGAGCAAACGGG